CCCAAACGCACCACGGCAGCGACGCGAGGCGCCAGACACGAGCGAGCGAGUGUCUGGUCAGGCGCGCGAGGAGCCGACCGCUCGAGCGGGCAUCUCCCGAUUCCAGAUCGAACGAAUCUGGCGCCCCCGCCCUAUCCUUUUCCCCCAAACCUAGCGCUACCUGAAGGCUUUGGCGGCGGUGAGCGACUCUAGGUCCGGCGGCCGGCCUUCUCCUCCCCCGGUCCCAGUUACCCGCUUCCCCCAGUGCCGGCCAUCUCCCUCGGUCCCUCCCCUACCCUCUGCCUCCGGCGUCCGGCCCUCUUCUCCGCGGCUCCGCCAGACGCCAGUGGCCAGUCCGCCAGUGGCCAGUCCGCCUCCAGCCUCCCCAGCACGGCGGCAGUCGGCAGCGCCCGCCCUCCGCCGCCUCCGGCCUCCCCGGCGCGGCGACAACGAGGAGCCAGCAGAUGAAGAAGAAGAAUGUUAGCAUAUUUGAAAUGUGGGACAAAUCUUCAAAGACAAGGAAACUAACUUCUACAUCCACACCAACUCCUCUUUCGGUUGAGGUUGAGAGCAAUCUGCAGCUAGCACUAGUGCAAACACAUGAUGAAGCUCUGCAACCGGAGAGGGAGACAACCCCAAUUGUAGAAGAUGAUGAAGCGGUCAAUGAAGAUGACGAAUCAAUGCCCCAAUUUGAA
rnacentral:rRNA from 1 species